GCUCUCUCUGUCCGCUCUCUCUCUCUCCUGCCCGAGCCACCGCCGCCGCCCCUCACCCGCACCACACCCGUUCCCGAGCCACCGCCGCCCCACGCCACCCCCGCCGUCGGCCACCCGCCCCCACUACCCCCGUACCCGCACCCACAUCUCCUCUCUGCUCUCCCGCGCCCUCGGGUUAGCCACCGCCACCGCCCUUAAUCCGGCGAGCUCCGGCAACCAUGGUCGGCGUGCAGCAUGCUACCGAGCUCACCUCGCCCUGCUGCGUCGAUUCCUCCGGCCAGAUUCGUCCCCCCCCCCCUCGAACGCUGGCGCCCAACCCAUCCCUCCGCGACUAGGGUGUGGUGCGCGGCCUCGUCUCCGCCGCCGGCAUGCCUCUGGCGGUCCUCUACGCCUCGUCGCAUGGCUCCUCAUGCGGCUGCGCCUGCUGGACGCUGCUUCUCCACCACAAGGCAGCGGCAGAGGAGGGCCUUAUCCACCACCACGCAAUGGCAGCCAAGGGGCAUUAAUUUGGUGCUUUCCGUGUCCAGAGAAAAGUAGUAGAAGGGGAUGAGGAAGGAGGAGAAAGACCAGAAGAAGGGCAAGGGAGCUUGUUGAAUACCAAUGGUGUUCUCCUCUGUUUGAUUACUAUGGCUGGUUGCUUGUUUAACUUUUGUGUGAGAAAUAAUGGAGAUCAAGUGAGGUAAUCUUGUUUCUAAAUUUAGAUACAUGCAUGUAUGUGGGGCUCUAGUUCUAAACAUAGCAGACUACUACCCUCCUAUAUGUUGUGCGAACCAGAGAGCUUCUUAAUUGAUUAACAUUUUGGAUUGGUUUAAUUUUUCUAAAAAUGGCUGCUUCUGUUGUCACACAUACACAUGCUUCUGGACAGUGCUACUAGCUAUUAUCUUUGCUAUUUUUUUUAUUUGUUUCAACCAUGUACUGCUAGUUGUGGUUGUCAAACAAAAAGAAUUGGUUUAUGAUUCAUAAUGUACAGACAUUAGCUUGUCUUUUCAAGGAGUCGGUUUGUGAUACAUGCCCACCUAUUCAUUUUACUUUCAAAGAAAAGAAUUGGCUUGUGAUUUGUUAUGCUCAGGCCUCGGGCAUUAAUUUUCACUGUCACAUGCAUGGUUUCAGAUUACCUGUGAGGUCGUCCACCGCGACUGUCACUGUGAGGUUGGUUAUUUCCCUACAAACAUUGCUCUACUGUAGCCUAGUUCGUUUCUAUGCUGCUGGUUGUGAAACCAAACUAGGUGGGGGUGUGUGUGAUGAGGUUUGGUUUAGUGCUUGAUGCCACCGGACUGUAGGUUCUUGUGUAGGACUACUUGUUAUAUAACUCUGGUUCCUGAUGAGAUCAUGUAUAUACUAGGCUAGUUGCACUUUGGUUCUAUCUAUUUCAAAUCAUAUUUGGUCAUUCAUGUUUGUAUGUGUGUGUGUGUGUGUGUGUGUGUGUGUGUGUGCGUGUGCGUGUGCGUGCGCGUGUGCGCGUGUGUGUGUGUCGUCUCUCUGCCUCUGCAUCUCUGCCUCUGUCUCUCUGCCUCUGUCUCUGUCUCUGUGUCUCUGUCUGUGUCUGUGUGUGUGUGUGAUGCAUGUGUGCUUCGAUUUGGAGCAGCAGUAGGACGACGACGAGAGGACGAGUACCUCGACGGCGACGACAACCAGGAGGAUGAACCCACCCACAAGGGCACCGACGCCGGCCAUCAGAACGACGACUCUUCGUCCUGCACCACCUCACGCUGCGACGGCUACAGGUUUGGUUCACUUCAUGGAAGGGCAGAAUGCUACUAUUUAGAUGUUUGAUGUUUGAUGUAUUGGAUGUUUGUGGAACUAUUGGAUGUUUGUGAAACUAUGUAUAUAUGAAUUGGAUGUAUGAUGUUUGAUGUUUGA